GACAGCCAGGAUGUUGGCUUCGAAGCAGCCAUCAUUUAAAGAAAGCGUAAUAGCUCACUGGUCGAGUCGGCCUGCGCGGAAGAUGUAACGGGGCUAAACCAUGCACCGAAGCUGCGGCAGCGACACUGUGUGUUGUUGGGUAGGGGAGCGUUCUGUAAGCCUGCGAAGGUGGCCUGUGAGGGUUGCUGGAGGUAUCAGAAGUGCGAAUGCUGACAUAAGUAACGAUAAAGCGGGUGAAAAGCCCGCUCGCCGGAAGACCAAGGGUUCCUGUCCAACGUUAAUCGGGGCAGG
rnacentral:rRNA from 1 species